GUCCACGCCGUAAACGAUGGAUACUAGCUGUUGGGCGCAAGUUCAGUGGCUAAGCGAAAGUGAUAAGUAUCCCACCUGGGGAGUACGUUCGCAAGAAUGAAACUCAAAGGAAUUGACGGGGCCCGCACAAGCGGUGGAGCAUGUGGUUUAAUUCGAUGAUACGCGAGGAACCUUACCAAGGCUUAAAUGCAGACUGACCGAUUUGGAAACAGAUCUUUCGCAAGACAGUUUACAAGGUGCUGCAUGGUUGUCGU
rnacentral:rRNA from 1 species